GUAGUUGUGAUCGCUUUUCUCGCUUUUGCUUCAGUGUCGCCCAUUUUCACCGAGCAACCGGUGAAGGAGGCUGAUGCGGCCGUUGGUGGUGGCGAGUUUCGGAAGAUCGUGGAUGCAAGUACAGGUCAUGACCCGACGAAGUCCGAAGUACAUUGGCUGGCUGGGGGUGAGCCAAACCAAGCACCGAUUGGCAACUUGGAAAACCCAUUCAAACGAAUCCAGACGUGUGUGGAUGUUCAACAUCAACUCCGAGGCUUUCUGCUAUGGCCGCCUUGGUCAACUGGAGGUAGGUUUGCAAUUGGCUGACCUACCGAUGAUGAUGGCACCGGUGAUGGCGGACAUGGAUGGCAGACUGAUGGCUGGCAACAAAGUCAUCACAUCUGUGCCGUGCGCACUGGAACAUACCCGGAUAGUGUGAGUGUGACUCUGUGAGUGACUGGCCAGAACAGUGUUCGUUACGAGUAGAGGCUUACAACAAUGAACUGGUAACGACGGUGUUAGUGAAGGGAACGGCCGAUAUCUCCAACCUAAUCCGGCAGCCGUACAAAGACAGCAUCAUCAUGGCCAGCUUGCCUGACGAGUUCAUCAUCGCUCCGUAUCCUGAAUCGUUCCAGCUAUGAGUGAUGAUAAUGAUGAUGGAAGCACGGACAGGUGGCCAAUGCCAAGCUAGAAGACAUGAUUGUUGUCACCACUGAAUGGCCUGGUCCAGAACAGAGAAGGGGCAGCGUGUACGGUUGAUUCAUGCAGGCACUUCACAUUCCCUUGUGGUAUAAACACAACCACAAGUUUCACCAUGAGUGGACCGCGCCGAUCAGCAUCUCUAGUCUGUACUGUCACCCGGUCGAGCAUUUCCUCUCCAACAUAUUGCCGGUAUUGGCUGGUCCCGUCCUGCUCGGCUCUCACUGUAUGCUGCUGCUUUUGUGGGCCUGCAUCUCGCUGGCCUCCGUGUCCGUCGCACACUGUGGGGCGGCUUCCACCUGCCGUUCAUGCCGUCCAACGAGUACCACGACUACCAUCAUGCAAAGCCUCUGACAGAACUCUGGGAUGCAUCGAGUCAGUUCUGGCAGCACAGAUGGAACCAGCUCUAUCACGAUGUGGCGGGAGGCAACGAGUUCCUUCUAUCUAGCCUUCUAUGGAGUUCCAUGGUCGCCUUCUACUGGUUGUUCAAUGCAUUCUUCAUCUUCGUGGAGCUGACUGGAACCCCUUCGAGCAUCUUGCAAUAUCGUAUCCAGCCUAAAAAGAAGCCAGCUGUGGU